rnacentral:rRNA from 1 species
UACAGAGGUCCCAAGCGUUGUUCGGAUUUACUGGGCGUAAAGGGUGCGUAGGUGGCGAGGUAAGUUCGAUGUGAAAUCUCCGAGCUCAACUCGGAAAUGGCAUUGAAUACUAUCCCGCUUGAGGGUCGGAGGGGAGACUGGAAUUCUCGGUGUAGCAGUGAAAUGCGUAGAUAUCGAGAGGAACACCAGUGGCGAAGGCGACUUCCUGGCCUGUUCUUGACGCUGAGGCGCGAAAGCUAGGGGGAGCAAACGGG